UAAUACAUGUGGGGCAAGCGUUGUUCGGAAUUACUGGGCAUAAAGGGUGCGUAGGCGGCUUGUUAAGUCACUGGUGAAAGUUUGCGGCCCAACCGUAAAAUUGCCUGUGAUACUGGCGAGCUUGAGUGCGUGAGGGGUAGGGGGAACGAGCAGUGUAGCGGUGAAAUGCGUAGAUAUUGCUCGGAAGGCCGGAGCCGAAGGGGCCCUACUGGUACGCAACUGACGCUGAGGCACGAAAGCGUGGGGAGCAAACAGGAUUAGAUACCCUGGUAGUCCACGCCGUAAACGAUGAGCACUAGGUGGAUGUCGAGCUAUCGAUGUCCGCCGCAGGCAAUUUGAUAAGUGCUCCGCCUGGGGAGUAUGGUCGCAAGGCUG
rnacentral:rRNA from 1 species